rnacentral:rRNA from 1 species
GAUGAACGCUGGCGGCGUGCCUAAUACAUGCAAGUCGAGCGAACAGACGAGGAGCUUUCUCCUCUGACGUUAGCGGCGGACGGGUGAGUAACACGUGGAUAACCUACCUAUAAGACUGGGAUAAAUUCGGGAAACCGGAGCUAAUACCGGAUAAUAUAUUGAACCGCAUGGUUCAAUAGUGAAAGACGGUUUUGCUGUCACUUAUAGAUGGAUCCGCGCCGCAUUAGCUAGUUGGUAAGGUAACGGCUUACCAAGGCGACGAUGCGUAGCCGACCUGAGAGGGUGAUCGGCCACACUGGAACUGAGACACGGUCCAGACUCCUACGGGAGGCAGCAGUAGGGAAUCUUCCGCAAUGGGCGAAAGCCUGACGGAGCAACGCCGCGUGAGUGAUGAAGGUCUUCGGAUCGUAAAACUCUGUUAUUAGGGAAGAACAAAUGUGUAAGUAACUAUGCACGUCUUGACGGUACCUAAUCAGAAAGCCACGGCUAACUACGUG